GCUCCUACGGGAGGCAGCAGUGGGGAAUAUUGCACAAUGGGGGAAACCCUGAUGCAGCGACGCCGCGUGAAGGAAGAAGUAUUUCGGUAUGUAAACUUCUAUCAGCAGGGAAGAAAAUGACGGUACCUGACUAAGAAGCCCCGGCUAACUACGUGCCAGCAGCCGCGGUAAUACGUAGGGGGCAAGCGUUAUCCGGAUUUACUGGGUGUAAAGGGAGCGUAGGCGGCGAUGCAAGUCAGAAGUGAAAGCCCGGGGCUCAACCCCGGUACUGCAUUUGAAACUGUCCAGCUGGAGUGCAGGAGAGG
rnacentral:rRNA from 1 species